rnacentral:rRNA from 1 species
GAUGAACGCUAGCUACAGGCUUAACACAUGCAAGUCGAGGGGUAACGAGAGGAAAGCGUGCUUUCCUUGUCGACGACCGGCGCACGGGUGAGUAACGCGUAUCCAACCUGCCCCCAACUAGGGAAUAACCUUGCGAAAGUAAGACUAAUACCCUAUAAUUUCCUCAGAUGUCAUCUGACGAGGAAUAAAGAUUUAUCGGUUGUGACUGGGGAUGCGUCUGAUUAGCUUGUUGGCGGGGUAACGGCCCACCAAGGCAACGAUCAGUAGGUGUUCUGAGAGGAAGUUCCCCCACAUUGGAACUGAGACACGGUCCAAACUCCUACGGGAGGCAGCAGUGAGGAAUAUUGGUCAAUGGGCGGAAGCCUGAACCAGCCAAGUAGCGUGCAGGAUGACGGCCCUAUGGGUUGUAAACUGCUUUUAUACAGGAAUAAAGUUAGCCACGUGUGGUUAUUUGUAGGUACUGUAUGAAUAAGGACCGGCUAAUUCCGUGCCAGCCGCCGCAGUAA